rnacentral:rRNA from 1 species
GUGAGGAAUUUUGCGCAAUGGGCGAAAGCCUGACGCAGCAACGCCGCGUGGACGAUGAAGGUCUUCGGAUCGUAAAGUCCUGUUGAGUGGGAAGAAGACUGCGGGAGCUAAUACCUCCCGCAUGAGACUGUACCACCUGAGGAAGCCCCGGCUAACUCCGUGCCAGCAGCCGCGGUAAUACGGAGGGGGCGAGCGUUGUUCGGAAUUAUUGGGCGUAAAGGGCGCGUAGGCGGCCGAACAAGUCUGACGUGAAAUCCCCCGGCCCAACCGGGGAACUGCGUUUGAAACUGUCCGGCUCGAGUCCGGGAGAGGGUAGCGGAAUUCCCAGUGUAGCGGUGAAAUGCGUAGAUAUUGGGAGGAACACCGGUGGCGAAGGCGGCUACCUGGACCGGUACUGACGCUGAGGCGCGAAAGCUAGGGUAGCAAACAGGAUUAGAAACCCUUGUAGUCC